rnacentral:rRNA from 1 species
UACAGAGGGUGCGAGCGUUAAUCGGAAUUACUGGGCGUAAAGCGUGCGUAGACGGUUAUUUAAGUCGGGUGUGAAAGCCCCGGGCUCAACCUGGGAAUUGCAUUCGAGACUGAAUAGCUAGGGUACGGUAGAGGGAAGCGGAAUUUCCGGUGUAGCGGUGAAAUGCGUAGAUAUAGGAAGGAAUACCAGUGGCGAAGGCGGCCUCCUGGAUCAACACUGACGCUGAGGUGCGAAAGCGUGGGGAGCAAACAGG